ACUUUUUUUUCCCCUCGAGAGGAGGAAAGCGACGGAGACGAGCGAGGCUUCCGAGAGGCGAAUUACAAGCCCCCAAUCGCACCUCCCGGAGAUGCGAACAAUUCCCUCACGCAAUCAAAGAAACGUCAGAAUCCAAAUGAAACCAUAGAAUUCAUAACUCUCAAAACUCUGCAUUCUUUUCAGUAAUACUAAAGUCACAGUUGAGCACACAGCCUUCACAAUGAAGGAACUCUUCGGAAAAUUACCAGAUAUCAUGGCAUAAAGAUACACACUGCAAAUUGUAUAUUGUGACAUUGCUUUCAAGCCAGGAAAGCAUAUUUUAUCUUCAUAAUGGUCAGCGGUAAAACACAAGUCAGCAAUAUUUGCCAAAUUGGGCAAUGGAGGAGACUCGAGACCAGACCGGUGACCACAGCUCUUUUAUUUAGAGUGAGACUUCAGCAAAGAUACAGGCAGGAUGCUCUUCUUUUAUACACUCCUGGGGCCAGGGAAAUUCCUUUUUUCCGGUUUGGACUAGAGUGAAUAACCCUAAAUUCCAGCAUAGGAGCCAAAUGCUGUUUUCCAUUACUGAAAAAAAUAAAGGUCUGGCUUUUAUUUGGGACUUGAUAGGUCUUUCGGUUUCCAUUCCUGCGUGAAGGUCUAGGCACAGUCUAAAUUGCUGAACUUUGUUGUUGCUGUUGUUUGGCCUUUCAGCUCUUGCAGGUGGGAUUUCAGACCCGAUACCUACUUUAUGUGACAAGCAUGCUUUCUGGGUGUACAUUGGUCAUGCUACAGUUUCAUGGCUUUUCAACUUCUCCACAAGUGGACGCAGGAAUUCUACUCCAACUGUCUCCACUCCAUCUUUAUUCAGAUCAUUAGAGAGAACUGUAGGGUGUCAGGAUUCCAAGUAAUGGAUCCAUCGCGAGCAAAAACUCCAAGGCAGGUGGAUUCCUCAAAUAAUAACUUUAUUGGAAAUAUCAAAUUGGCACAUAUCUGGUGAAAACCAGCUCUGAAGGGCCCCUUGGUUUUCACCUUAUUAAAAGUGAAAGUUUUUCCCUCAACCCCAAACUAUCAGUCACAAUCAAGGCAGCAUUCACUGGUCUGGUGACAUCACUCCUCCUUCCUCCAGCCAGGUGUGAGAAGUCCUUGUUUCCCAAGGGAAAGUAUUUUAUUUUGACUACACAACCCCAGCUAUCUCUAAUCUCCCCCUCCCUAUCCCUUGCUCCAGGUUGGCAGCACUGAAGCUCCAAGAUGGCUUUGGCCAGGUCAGCUUCAGAGUUGACAUACAGUGCUCUUGGAAAUAAAUAGGGUUGAAAUGUAAAAUUUGUUACUACCGGUUCUGUGAGUGUGGCUUAGUGGUGGUGGGGGUAAUGUGACUGGGUGGGAGUGGUGAACUUUUUUUUUAACUUUUAAAAGCAUUUUUUCUACAACCUCUUCUGCUGAAGAGGUUGUAAAAAAAUCCUUUUAAAAGCCUGUGAUGAUCAGGCAACUUAGCUGGGAUUGCCAGAGGAAAAAAAGCUUUUAAAGGGUUCUGACAAUCCCAGCUGAGUUGCCUGAUCACAAGAACCUUUUAAAAGCAUUUUUUCUACAACCUCUUCGGUUGAUUUUUAUAGUAUUGUAUUUAUAAGAGCCGAGGUGGCACAGUGAUUAGACCGUAGUACUGCAGGCUACUUCUGCUGCCUGCAAUUUGGCAGUUCAAAUCUCACCAGGCUCAAGGUUGACUCAGCCUUCCAUCUUCCGAGGUAGGUAAAAUGAUGAUCCAAAUUGUUGGGAGCAAUAUGCUGACUCUGUAAAACGCUUAGAGGGGGCUGUAAAAUACUGUGAAGUGGUAUAUAAUAAGUGCUAUUGCUAUUGCUAUAUUAUUAGGUUUUACAUAGGUCUGUCUUUUAAUAUUGUAAGCCGCCCAGAGGUACCAUGCAGUAAGAUGGGCAGAUAAUAAAUUUUACAAUUAAAUAAAUUCUUAAAAUGGGAUGAAAAUUGGUCUUUUUUUUUUUAAUCCCACUCAAAAAAAUUUGUUUAACAUGGACAAACAGUGUUUCUCAAUCUCGGCAACUUUAAGAUAGCUGGCUGAUGAAUUCUGGGAAUUGAAGGCCACACAUCAUUAAAUUGCUUGGGUUGAGAAAUAAGGUCCUAAACCAUUUGCCAUGGACACAGCACACUGUAAUUUAUUGAUGCACAGAAAUCACUGUCGGGGAAAAGAAGAAACAAAACUCAAACAAUUAUUUUGCUAAUCUACUACAUGCAAUCUAGUAGAUAACAAUAUCCAUCAAUAGUAUGGAAGAUUCUUUUCCAUAUUAAAAUUCCAUAUUACCUUUGAAUAAUCUCAGAACUUUGGCUUUCUGGGUUAAAAAAGAAUUUAUUUAAAGCACAAUACUGUAUCACAAUCUGCAAGCAGAUCUGAGUUCUGCUGUUUAAAAUUUACAGACUUCUCUGAAGUACGAUUGUUUCAGGGAAAAACUUCGAACAAACAAGCCUCAAAUAAAUCAACAAACAGAACACUCUCAGUUCUGAGAGGGGCAGGCAAAAGUGUUCUCCCUAUAUAUUGUGGUUUCUUAAAGAAUAUUUACUGCAAUUUAUUUGUUGUUAAAUGCUUACAUCUUGUUUCUUUUCUACAAUUGCAUGUAAGUGUUUGUGACACGAACGCUAUUUUAAAAAGAAUCCUAAUUCUUGUUUGCCCUUUAAAAAUUGUAGCUAUGAGACUAUGUGCGUAGGAAAGAAUGACCACCAUUCCUUCAUCACUGAGUGUGGUCCUUGACAUGCAGGUUCAUGUCCAGGUCAGAGUUAGACAACAUGAAAUUGGUUUCUGAUUUGAUCUUCAGUUUCAAAGUCUCAGUAUCUUUAAAAGG